rnacentral:rRNA from 1 species
AUUGAACGCUGGCGGCAGGCCUAACACAUGCAAGUCGAACGAGUGGCGGACGGGUGAGUAAUGGCUGGGAAACUGACUGAUGGAGGGGGAUAACUACGGGAAACGGUAGCUAAUACCGCAUACCAUCAGAUGUGCCCAGAUGGGAUUAGCUUGGUGGUGGGGUAACGGCUCACCAAGGCGACGAUCCCUAGCUGGUCUGAGAGGAUGACCAGCCACACUGGACCUGAGCCACGGUCCAGACUCCGACGGGAGGAACAAGUGGGGAAUAUUGCACAAUGGGCGCAAGCCUGACUCCGCCAUGCCGCGUGUAUGAAGAAGGCCUUCGGGUUGUAAAGUACUUUCAGCAGGGAGGCGUUACCUGCAGAAGAAGCACCGGCUAACUCCGUGCCAGCCGCCGCGGUAAUUC